rnacentral:rRNA from 1 species
UGGGGAAUCUUGCGCAAUGGGCGAAAGCCUGACGCAGCAACGCCGCGUGUGGGAAGACGGCCUUCGGGUUGUAAACCACUUUCAGGGGGGACGAAGCCACUCAGGUUAAUAGCCGAGAGGGUGACGGUACCCCCAGAAGAAGCCCCGGCUAACUACGUGCCAGCAGCCGCGGUAAUACGUAGGGGGCGAGCGUUGUCCGGAAUCAUUGGGCGUAAAGCGCGUGUAGGCGGCUUGGUCAGUCUGGUGUGAAAUCCCGGGGCUCAACCCCGGAACUGCACUGGAUACUGCCUCGCUAGAGUCCGGGAGAGGAGUUGGGAAUUCCCAGUGUAGCGGUGAAAUGCGCAGAUAUUGGGAAGAACACCAAUGGCGAAGGCACAACUCUGGAACGGUACUGACGCUGAGACGCGAAAGCGUGGGGAGCAAACAGGAUUAGAUACCCCCGUAGUCC